UUAAGCGACUAAGCGUACACGGUGGAUGCCCUGGCAGUCAGAGGCGAUGAAGGGCGUGCUAAUCUGCGAUAAGCGCCGGUAAGGUGAUAUGAACCGUUAUAACCGGCGAUACCCGAAUGGGGAAACCCAGUGUGAUUCGUCACACUAUCAUUAACUGAAUCCAUAGGUUAAUGAGGCGAACCGGGGGAACUGAAACAUCUAAGUACCCCGAGGAAAAGAAAUCAACCGAGAUUCCCCCAGUAGCGGCGAGCGAACGGGGAGGAGCCCAGAGCCUGAAUCAGCAUGUGUGUUAGUGGAAGCGUCUGGAAAGGCGCGCGAUACAGGGUGACAGCCCCGUACACAAAAGCGCAUGUGCUGUGAGCUCGAUGAGUAGGGCGGGACACGUGGUAUCCUGUCUGAAUAUGGGGGGACCAUCCUCCAAGGCUAAAUACUCCUGACUGACCGAUAGUGAACCAGUACCGUGAGGGAAAGGCGAAAAGAACCCCGGCGAGGGGAGUGAAAAAGAACCUGAAACCGUGUACGUACAAGCAGUGGGAGCNGCUUUGGGGUGGGGUGACUGCGUACCUUUUGUAUAAUGGGUCAGCGACUUAUAUUCUGUAGCAAGGUUAACCGAAUAGGGGAGCCGGAGGGAAACCGAGUCUUAAUUGGGCGUUAAGUUGCAGGGUAUAGACCCGAAACCCGGUGAUCUAGCCAUGGGCAGGUUGAAGGUUGGGUAACACUAACUGGAGGACCGAACCGACUAAUGUUGAAAAAUUAGCGGAUGACCUGUGGCUGGGGGUGAAAGGCCAAUCAAACCGGGAGAUAGCUGGUUCUCCCCGAAAGCUAUUUAGGUAGCGCCUCGUGAAUUCAUCUCCGGGGGUAGAGCACUGUUUCGGCUAGGGGGCCAUCCCGGCUUACCAACCCGAUGCAAACUGCGAAUACCGGAGAAUGUUAUCACGGGAGACACACGGCGGGUGCUAACGUCCGUCGUGAAGAGGGAAACAACCCAGACCGCCAGCUAAGGUCCCAAAGUCAUGGUUAAGUGGGAAACGAUGUGGGAAGGCCCAGACAGCCAGGAUGUUGGCUUAGAAGCAGCCAUCAUUUAAAGAAAGCGUAAUAGCUCACUGGUCGAGUCGGCCUGCGCGGAAGAUGUAACGGGGCUAAACCAUGCACCGAAGCUGCGGCAGCGACGCUUAUGCGUUGUUGGGUAGGGGAGCGUUCUGUAAGCCUGUGAAGGUGGCCUGUGAGGGUUGCUGGAGGUAUCAGAAGUGCGAAUGCUGACAUAAGUAACGAUAAAGCGGGUGAAAAGCCCGCUCGCCGGAAGACCAAGGGUUCCUGUCCAACGUUAAUCGGGGCAGGGUGAGUCGACCCCUAAGGCGAGGCCGAAAGGCGUAGUCGAUGGGAAACGGGUUAAUAUUCCCGUACUUGGUGUUACUGCGAAGGGGGGACGGAGAAGGCUAUGUUGGCCGGGCGACGGUUGUCCCGGUUUAAGCGUGUAGGUGUGUGUUCCAGGUAAAUCCGGUUCACUUUAACACUGAGGCGUGAUGACGAGGCACUACGGUGCUGAAGCAACAAAUGCCCUGCUUCCAGGAAAAGCCUCUAAGCAUCAGGUAACAUCAAAUCGUACCCCAAACCGACACAGGUGGUCAGGUAGAGAAUACCAAGGCGCUUGAGAGAACUCGGGUGAAGGAACUAGGCAAAAUGGUGCCGUAACUUCGGGAGAAGGCACGCUGACACGUAGGUGAAGUGAUUUACUCAUGGAGCUGAAGUCAGUCGAAGAUACCAGCUGGCUGCAACUGUUUAUUAAAAACACAGCACUGUGCAAACACGAAAGUGGACGUAUACGGUGUGACGCCUGCCCGGUGCCGGAAGGUUAAUUGAUGGGGUCAGCGCAAGCGAAGCUCCUGAUCGAAGCCCCGGUAAACGGCGGCCGUAACUAUAACGGUCCUAAGGUAGCGAAAUUCCUUGUCGGGUAAGUUCCGACCUGCACGAAUGGCGUAAUGAUGGCCAGGCUGUCUCCACCCGAGACUCAGUGAAAUUGAACUCGCUGUGAAGAUGCAGUGUACCCGCGGCAAGACGGAAAGACCCCGUGAACCUUUACUAUAGCUUGACACUGAACAUUGAGCCUUGAUGUGUAGGAUAGGUGGGAGGCUUUGAAGCGUGGACGCCAGUCUGCGUGGAGCCGACCUUGAAAUACCACCCUUUAAUGUUUGAUGUUCUAACGUGGACCCGUNNNCCGGGUUGCGGACAGUGUCUGGUGGGUAGUUUGACUGGGGCGGUCUCCUCCUAAAGAGUAACGGAGGAGCACGAAGGUUGGCUAAUCCUGGUCGGACAUCAGGAGGUUAGUGCAAUGGCAUAAGCCAGCUUGACUGCGAGCGUGACGGCGCGAGCAGGUGCGAAAGCAGGUCAUAGUGAUCCGGUGGUUCUGAAUGGAAGGGCCAUCGCUCAACGGAUAAAAGGUACUCCGGGGAUAACAGGCUGAUACCGCCCAAGAGUUCAUAUCGACGGCGGUGUUUGGCACCUCGAUGUCGGCUCAUCACAUCCUGGGGCUGAAGUAGGUCCCAAGGGUAUGGCUGUUCGCCAUUUAAAGUGGUACGCGAGCUGGGUUUAGAACGUCGUGAGACAGUUCGGUCCCUAUCUGCCGUGGGCGCUGGAGAACUGAGGGGGGCUGCUCCUAGUACGAGAGGACCGGAGUGGACGCAUCACUGGUGUUCGGGUUGUCAUGCCAAUGGCACUGCCCGGUAGCUAAAUGCGGAAGAGAUAAGUGCUGAAAGCAUCUAAGCACGAAACUUGCCCCGAGAUGAGUUCUCCCUGAGACUUAGAGUCUCCUGAAGGAACGUUGAAGACGACGACGUUGAUAGGCCGGGUGUGUAAGCGCAGCGAUGCGUUGAGCUAACCGGUACUAAUGAACCGUGAGGCUUAACCUU
rnacentral:rRNA from 1 species